CAGCCGCCGCGGUAAUACGAAGGGUGCAAGCGUUAGUCGGAAUUACUGGGCGUAAAGCGUGCGUAGGCGGUGAGUUAAGUCUGCUGUGAAAUCCCCGGGCUCAACCUGGGAAUGGCAGUGGAUACUGGCUCGCUAGAGUGUGUCAGAGGAUGGUGGAAUUCCCGGCGUAGCGGUGAAAUGCGUAGAGAUCGGGAGGAACAUCAGUGGCGAAGGCGGCCAUCUGGGACAACACUGACGCUGAGGCACGAAAGCGUGGGGAGCAAACAGGAUUAGAUACCCGUGUAGUCCCUGUCUCUUAUAA
rnacentral:rRNA from 1 species